AAAAAAUUCAACACUUUUUUAAUUUAAUUUAAUUUAAUUACCUACCGUCAUUACGAUUAUUUACUAUUUAUCAACAUCGACGUACAAUAAAUACAAUAAAUGGCGAAAGUUGAACGUGCAAAAUAUUCAUCCAGUGCCUUUGUUCGGCAAUGUAUUCAAAAUGAUUAUGGGCUUGGAAGAUCAAAUAAUCGCGUUCGGUGUAGAAUUUACGGCGAUGGAGUUUUGAGCAACGGGGUUUAGCGAACACGAAUAUUGCUAUAAAAAUAAACAGGAUGAUUCACUAAGCGUGCUUACCCCGUUAU